UACGGAGGAUGCGAGCGUUAUCCGGAUUUAUUAGGUUUAAAGGGUGCGUAGGCGGGCGCGUAAGUCAGUGGUGAAAUCUUGUUGCUUAACAACAGAACUGCCAUUGAUACUGCAUGCCUUGAGUACAGUCGAGGUAGGCGGAAUGUGUAAUGUAGCGGUGAAAUGCUUAGAUAUUACACAGAACACCGAUUGCGAAGGCAGCUUACUAGGCUGUAACUGACGCUGAUGCACGAAAGCGUGGGGAGCAAACAGG
rnacentral:rRNA from 1 species